UACAUAGGUCCCAAGCGUUGUUCGGAUUCACUGGGCGUAAAGGGUGCGUAGGUGGUAGGGUAAGUUUGAUGUGAAAGCUCCGAGCUCAACUCGGAAAUUGCAUCGAAUACUAUUCCACUAGAGGGUUGUAGGGGGGACUGGAAUUCUCGGUGUAGCAGUGAAAUGCGUAGAUAUCGAGAGGAACACCAGUGGCGAAGGCGAGUCCCUGGACAACUCCUGACACUGAGGCGCGAAAGCUAGGGGAGCAAACAGG
rnacentral:rRNA from 1 species